AGACCCGAAACCCGGUGAUCUAGCCAUGGGCAGGUUGAAGGUUGGGUAACACUAACUGGAGGACCGAACCGACUAAUGUUGAAAAAUUAGCGGAUGACCUGUGGCUGGGGGUGAAAGGCCAAUCAAACCGGGAGAUAGCUGGUUCUCCCCGAAAGCUAUUUAGGUAGCGCCUCGUGAAUUCAUCUCCGGGGGUAGAGCACUGUUUCGGCUAGGGGGCCAUCCCGGCUUACCAACCCGAUGCAAACUGCGAAUACCGGAGAAUGUUAUCACGGGAGACACACGGCGGGUGCUAACGUCCGUCGUGAAGAGGGAAACAACCCAGACCGCCAGCUAAGGUCCCAAAGUCAUGGUUAAGUGGGAAACGAUGUGGGAAGGCCCAGACAGCCAGGAUGUUGGCUUAGAAGCAGCCAUCAUUUAAAGAAAGCGUAAUAGCUCACUGGUCGAGUCGGCCUGCGCGGAAGAUGUAACGGGGCUAAACCA
rnacentral:rRNA from 7 species